rnacentral:rRNA from 1 species
GAUGAACGCUGGCGGCGUGCCUAAUACAUGCAAGUCGAACGAACAGACGCUGCUCUUGCUCCUCUCACGUUUGCGGCGGACGGGUGUGUAACACGUGUAUCACCUCCCUAUCAUACUGGUAUCACUUCGGGACUCCGGCGCUAAUCCCGUAUAAUCUCUUGCACCGCAUUGUUCAAUAGUGAAAUACGGUUUUGCUGUCACUUCUAGAUGGUUCCGCGCCGCAUUAGCUAGUUGGUAGGGUAACGGCUUACCAAGGCAACGAUGCGUAGCCGACCUGAGAGGGUGAUAGGCCACACUGGAACUGAGACACGGACAAGAGGACUAAGAGAGGCAGCAGUAGGGAAUCGUACGCAAUAGGCGAAAGCAUGACGGAGCAAGGCCGCGUGAGUGAUGAAGGUGUUCGGAGCGUAAAAAUGGGUUAUGAGGGAAGAACAAAUGUGGAAGGAAAUAUGGACGGCGUGACGGUAACUAAUAAGAAAGCAACGGCUAACUACGUG